rnacentral:rRNA from 1 species
UACGGGAGGCAGCAGUGGGGAAUAUUGCACAAUGGGCGAAAGCCUGAUGCAGCUAUGCCGCGUGUAUGAAGAAGGCCUUAGGGUUGUAAAGUACUUUCAUCGGGGAGGAAAAAACAAAACUAAUAAUUUUAUUUCUUGACGUUACCCGAAAAAGAAGCACCGGCUAACUCCGUGCCAGCAGCCGCGGUAAUACGGAGGGUGCUAGCGUUAAUCAGAAUUACUGGGCGUAAAGAGCACGUAGGUGGUUUUUUUAAGUCAGAUGUGAAAUCCCUGGGCUUAACCUAGGAACUGCAUUUUGAAACUGAAAUACUAGAGUAUCGUAGAGGGAGGUAGAAUUCUAGGUGUAGCGGUGAAAUGCGUAGAUAUCUGGAGGAAUACCUGUGGCGAAAGCGGCCUCCUAAACGAAUACUGACACUGAGGUGCGAAAGCGUGGGGAGCAAACGAGGGAUUAGAUACCCGU